CGACGAUCCUUCUGAGGAUGACGCUGGCGGCCUGCUUAACACAUGCAAGUCCGAAAACUGGAGUGGUGUUCCAGGGCGAACUGGUGAGUAACUGCGUAAGAACCUGCCCUUGGAGGGUAACAACAACUGGAAACGGUUGCUAAUACCCCGUAGGCUGAGAGGAGUCAAAUGAGACAAUCGCCCAAGGAGGGGCUCGCGUCUGAUUACUAGUUGGUGAGGCAAUAGCUUACCAAGGCGAUGAUCAGUACUGGGUCCGAGCGGGAUGAUCGCACACUGGUACUGAGACACGGCCCAGACUCCUACGGGAGGCAGCAGUGGGGAAUUUCCGCAAUGGUCGAAGCUGACGGAGCAAUGCCCGCGUGGAGGUGGAAGCCUAACGGUCGUCAACUUCUUUUCCUCGGAGAGAAACAAUGACUGAUCUGAGAUGCAAUGGCUAACCUCGUGCCAGCAGCCCGCGUAAAGACAGAAGGAUCAAUCGUCUCCCGGAUGAUUGGGCGUAAAGCGUCUGUAGGUGGCUUUUCAAGUCCGCCGUCCAAAUCCCAAGAUGCUCAACCCUGGACAGGCGGUGGAAACUACAAGGCUGGAGUACGGUAGGGGCAGAGGGAAUUUCCGGUGGAGCGGUGAAAUGCAUUGAGAUCGGAAAGAAUCACCAACGGCGAAAGCACUCUGCUGGGCCGACACUGACACUGCGAGACGCAAGCUAGGGGAGCAAAUGGGAUUAGAGACCCCAGUAGUCCUAGCCGUAAACGAUGGAUACUAGGUGCUGUGCGACUCGACCCGUGCAGUGCUGUAGCUAACUGCGUUAAGUAUCCUAUCCGCGCCUGGGGAGUUACUUCGCGAGAAAUGAAACUCAAAGGAAUUUGACGGGGGCCCGCACAAGCGGUGGAGCAUGUGUUUUAAAAAUUCGAUGCAAAGCGAAGAACCUUACCAGGGCUUGACAUGCCGCGAUCCUCUUGAAAGAGAGGGGUGCCCUCGGGAACGCGGACAAGGUGGUGCAUGGCUGUCGUCAGCUCGUGCCGUAAGGUGUUGGGUUUAAGUCCUGCAACGAGCGCCACCCUCGUGUUUAGUUGCCACUAUGAGUUUGGAACCCUGAACGACCGCCGGUGUUAAGCCGUAGGAAGAGAGGAUGAGGCCAAGUCAUCAUGCCCCUUAUAUGGCCCCUGGGCGACACACGGCUACAAUGGCGGGACAAAGGGUCGGCGAUCCUCGCGAGGGUGAGCUAACUCCAAAAACCCGUCCUCAGUUCGGAUUGCAUGCUGCAACUCGCCUGCAUGAAGCAGGAAUCGCUAGUAAUCGCCGGUCAGCCAUACGGCGGUGAUCCGUUCCCGGGCUUGUAACACACCCCCGUCAUCACUAUAGGAGCUGGCCAGGUUUGAAGUCAUUACCCUUAACCGUAAGGAGGGGGAUUCUACGGCCUCGCUUGCGACUGGAGUGAAGUCGUAACAAGGUCCGUUACUGGAGGUGGCGGCCU
rnacentral:rRNA from 1 species